GGAAAUUAUAAUGUUUAAGUUGGUGUUGCCUUUGGCAUUUCUGGGAUUUAAGAUUGUUUGAUUUCCAAGAGCUUUCUGUUCCUUUAAUUCUCUGUUUACAUCUUAUAUUUCCCCCAAAAUCAUUACCCUUUUAAUCAAUGUGCAAUGUGUAUAGUUGACCGUGUAAUCAAUGGGAUAUGUAAGUUGCUAAUUUGACAUGAUUAUAGAAGGAGAGGGGCGCUCUAUUGAAGGCCAUCUCAGAAAACCAGCAAAUCAAUACCCCAAUAUUUCCAACGAGGCUUCCAAAUUGGGCGUAGUAUGGAGAGCUUAUGCAAGCUACCUAUACUAUAGCUUCUCUAACAGCUUCGUUGAAUAUGGACCCUAAUGAAACCGCCAGAAAUUAUAGAACCAAGCUCUGCACAGAUCUAGAAAGUAGAAGUUUCCAAAUCAAUAAUUAUGGUGGUGGGUGCAAAGCGGAGAGUUGAAGAGUUGGAGGAUGACUCUCAUGCAAGUCGUAAGCAUAUUAAGACAAGGG